rnacentral:lncRNA from 1 species
AUAGCAAUUUUCUUUAGUUUGAAUAUUAAUAAAUUAUUGUUCAUUUUAUAUUCAAUACUUUAUGUCUGUGCUGUCUUUGUCAAUCUGAAUGUCUAAGUUUUUUAUAUGCGUAUAUGUUAUUAUUUUACAGACUUAGUUUGCUAGGUGAUUUUGUCAUGUAUAGUUUGUUUUUAAGGGGGUUCGCGGGUCUAAAUCAUUUAUAUAGGAUUUCUCUAUAUUUUUCUAUAAAUGAACUUUAUCUUAUAGUUAAUAGAAA